AAAUUGAAGAGUUUGAUCAUGGCUCAGAUUGAACGCUGGCGGCAGGCCUAACACAUGCAAGUCGAACGGUAACAGGAAGCAGCUUGCUGCUUCGCUGACGAGUGGCGGACGGGUGAGUAAUGUCUGGGAAACUGCCUGAUGGAGGGGGAUAACUACUGGAAACGGUAGCUAAUACCGCAUAACGUCGCAAGACCAAAGAGGGGGACCUUCGGGCCUCUUGCCAUCGGAUGUGCCCAGAUGGGAUUAGCUAGUA
rnacentral:rRNA from 1 species